UUUUUUUUUUUUUUUUUUUUGCUUCUUAGGGCUGUACCCGCGGCAUAUGGAUGUUCCCAGACUAGGGGUCCAAUUGGAGCUACAGCUGCUGGCCUACACCACAGCCACAGCAAUGCAGGAUCCGAGCUGUGUCUGAGACCUAUACCACAGUUCACAGCAACACCCGAUCCCCAACCCACUGAAUGAGGCCAGGAUCGAACCCGAAACCUCAUGCUUACUAGUCGGAUCCGUUUUCCUCAGCGCCGCAAUGGGAACUCUGACUUUCAGCUUUUAAAUAUAAUUCACAAACCACAGCAUUGCCUUUAAGAGGGGGCAUCUUUUUCUGUUGUUGUUCUUGUUUAUGGUAUGUUGGCUGUGAUUACAGAGAAUAUGCAUCUUCAAUAUCAUUUCCUUUUCCAAAACUUAGCACUGAUGAUGGGCCAGCAGGGACUGCUUAACUAGAGACCCACUGAGUGUGCCACAUCUAGCCAUAACUUAUUAAUCUUCCAGUUUUUAAAUUCUUUUGAACCUAAUGGGCAAAAUAAUAUAUAUAUUUGCUCUAAAUAUUUUCCUCCUCCUCUGGGAUCAGUCUGACUUCUUCAAAAAGGGCAAAAGUAGACUGAGCUAAGGCAGCCAGUGGGGAGGCUGGCUUCAGAAAAAUCUAGCUACAUGGCAAAAACAAACAGAAUAUGAAGGUGGAAAUAGACUGACUUCCUGGUUUGUGAUGUCUUACAAUCUCAGGUCUCAGGUAGGGAAGGACCCCAAUGUUCACUGCAGAACUAUUCGCAAUAGCCAAGACAUGGAAGCAACCAAAGUGUCUAUUAAACAGGUGAAUGGUUAAAGAAGAUGUGGUACAUACAUACAAUGGAAUAUUACUCAGGCAAAAGAAAGAAUAAAAUAAUGCGAUUUGCAGAAACAUGGAUGCUACUGGAGAUUAUCAUACUAAAUGAAGUAAGUCAGACAGAGAAAGGCAAAUAUCUAUGAGAUCACUAAUAUGUAUAGUCUAAUAAAAAAAGAUACAGAAGAACUUAUUCACGUAUCAGAAACAGACUCAAAUAUUUUGAAACAAAAGUUAUGGUCACCAAAUGGGACACACUGCCAGGAGGGAUAAAUUAGGAGUUUGGGAUUACCAUAUACACACUACCUGAUAUAAAAUAGAUAAGUAGCAAGGACCCUCUAUAGAGCACAGGGUAAUCUACACAAUACUUUAUAAUAACCUAUAUGGGGAAAGAAUCUGAAAAGGAAUGCAUAUAGGUAUGUAUGUGUAUAACUGAUUCGCUUUGCUGUGCAGCUGAAACUAACACAAAUUUGUAAGUCAACCAUAUACCAACAAUUUUCUGAGCUGAGGAAUCAAUUCACAUAUCUGAGCAGUCUUCUCAUUACAACAACUGUCACCAUGGAGGCUUUAGUCCCUUGACGCCCCACUAUGGGCUGGCCAUUUUUAGAUGGUGACACUGAGGCUUCAAGCCUCAUUAACUUGGAUCUAGCCCUGUUGAUCCCUCUCUAGGGACUUGUGACAGAUCCUGGAAAUACAAGAUCCCCUCCCCUUUUGGAACUAAAUUCUCAUAGCAUCAGCUAUUCAAUAACUAAGUAAAAUAAAAUAUAUUGUCAGUUGGGUGAUGACGAAUGCUCAGAAGAAAAGAGAGGAACGGGGAUUAAAGGGAUGGGGGGGCGGGUUUUGCAGCUUUAGAUAUGGAGAGGACAGCUUCUCCAAGAAGGCACAUCGCACCAAUAAAGGGGGGGCGAGAUGAGGGGCCGCUGGGCAACUGGGCAUCAGUUGCGGGUCAGGGUCAGAGCAGACUCUGAGGAGUGAACUGCUGUGUUUCAGUUCAGAGCAUCUGCAGUGGAGAGAGAGGAAUAAAGCAGAAGUGGGAUCAGAGCCAAAAGGGGCCAGACCAUAUGUAGGCAGGGCUUUCGGCCGGCACAGGGAUCCUGGUUAUCACUGGGAAGAGAAACCAUUGGAUGGUCUCAGGCAGCAGGUUGCCAUGCUGUCCUAACACUGGAAGAGCAUCACUCCAACUGCUGUUUUGAAACCAGACCAAGGCAACAAGGGAGGCAGUGGGAAGGGUAGCUGGGAGCCAUGGCAGUGAUGGGGAGAGAAGGGAUGAAGUUAACCAGGGGGGAGCCGUGAAGUUGCUAAGGAAUGGUCGGGUGCUGGGAAGACUUUGAAGCAGAGCUGAGCAGGUGCUGACACAACAGACGUGGGUUCGAGAAAAAUAAAGGAACCAGGAUGCUUCCAGAGUUUCAGCAUGACCUGGAAUUGGAAGCACAAAACUGCCAUUUAUUGAAAUAUGAUCAUGACAAAUGUAGGUUGCUCAGUUCUCACUGUGUUAAACUUGGGGUGAGGUCAAGUAGGUGGUUGGACAUAGAGUUCAAGAGAAACAGGGCUUUUUACAUGUGUGGGAAUACAUGCCUGUGGAUGCUUUUCUCCAAGGAUGGGGAGUUAAAACAAAGGAAAAACUGGGCAGAGCACUAUGCUUAGUUUCUAUCAUUUUUCUAGCCUUUGACAAAGUUUUAAACAUUUUACAAACAUCAUCUUUAUCAUCACCUUCUCGAUGUGACAAUUCCCUCACUAUUUGGGACCUGUCCUUGGUUUCCAGUAAACCAGUGAACUAUUAGGAAUUUCUCACACAUUGCUGAUUUCAUCAUUUAAAAAGAUUUCCAAGUGCAUAUGGUGUAUUGGAACUCUAUGGAAGCCAAAACCUGAAAUUGGAUUUUUUAUUGAAUUUUUUCUCUCCAUUGCCUGUACACACUGGGGGUUGGGAGUUUUAUUUUUAUGACUUCUUUUCUUUGCACAGUUGGUGAGGGCUGGCAUUUUAAAAAUAUUUUUAAUAAAAAAAUGAACAAGUUACACUGAAUCCUGGAUACAGUUACGCCCUAGCUCCCUAGUACUUUGGCCAUUUUCUGAGCACUCAAUGCUAAAUUGAUUACGGACUAGUUCCUGAAGAAACCCCAGUUAAGAACUGGAUAUUCUAGGAGAAAUUUCCGAAGGAUGUGCUUGUCAUUCAUUCUUUUAGGUUUUCCAGACUUCUUAAAACAAGCUAGGUCACAUGACAGCUAUAUAACAUCUAUAUGCCAUUGUAUAGCGCUGCCUCUAGAAAUAGCUUGGGUAGGUGGAUUUCAGCAAGAGAUAUUUUACUAAAAAUGUUGAUUACUCAAAGAAUGUUUUGCUUUUUAGGGCCGCACCCAAGGCUACAGCUGCUGGCCCACACCACAGCCACGGCAAUGCAGGAUCUGAGCCACGUCUGCGACCUACACUGUAGCUCAUGGCAACACCAGAUUCCCUGACCCAUUGGGCAAGGCCAGGGAUUGAACCUGCAUACUCAUGGAUACUAGUCAGACUCGUUUUCACUGCACUGUGAAGGGAACUCCAUCAAAGAACAUUUUUGUUUUUCUCAAAAUUGCAUUUGAGAAUAUUGCCCCUUAAAAUUGUCCAUAUAUACUUAUGGAUUUCUUUUAGAUUUAGUCCCCUUGUUGUUACCGAUUUUCCGAUGGUCUGUUUCUAUCAAAGAAAGGCAUCCAUCGAUGCUAUUUCUACUUUUACCUUGGAGUUCAAGUAGCCAAGAGGAAAAUUAAUGCCUACUUGUAUUUUAACAAUUAAUCCCAUCUUUGUAAUGUAGUAGAAAUAAUCCCUAUUUGGAAUCAGAUAUAUUAUAUCUGGUCUUAAAUUCUAAUCCGUAGCUUAUUGUACACAUUUAACAUUUCUAAGUCUCUGUUUUCUUGCCUGUAAAAUGGGCAUAAAGCAUUUCCCCCCAAGGAAUCUAAAACUAGUUAAAGUAUAUAAAGCAUGUCCAGGUACUGAAUUAAUUAUUAUUAAUUUCUGUUUCCAUGCAGAUAAAUAUCAGCCUUUUCUUCUUAUAAUAUUUGUUGCAUGUAAAAUCGCUUGACAAAUAUUUUUAUACUCAAUUAGUUAAAGCCAAUUCAAACUCCAUUGUAAAUAAGUAAUAAUGACAGCUAAUCGUUAUUGACAGAUUUCUCUGUUCCAGGUGACCUGCUAAGGCCUUAUACAUAUUCACUCAUUCGAUCCUUGGAAUAACCCUAUGAGUUAAGACCUACAACUUUCCCCCUUUACAGAUAAUGGAAUCCAGACACUGCAGGAGUCAAGAACUGGCCCAGGGUCAUGGAAGCCAGUUGGGUUUGAACCUGAACAGUCUGGGUUUAGAGUUGGGGGGUAUACCCUCACACAGGGUUCAUUAGUGCUCUAAUAGAUCCUGAAAAUACACACACUUGGGAGUUUUACACUCCAUCAAAACCCUUGCUUUUUUUUUUUUUUUUCUGGCCAUACUUGUGACAUACAGAAUCUCCUGGGCCAGGGAUUAAACCCGAACCACUGCAGUGACAACACCAGAUCCUUAACCUGCUGAGGCACGGGGGAACUCCCCCAAAGCCUUGCCUUUUUAAGGACUCAAGUGACAUUUAUACAUAUAUUAAGAACUCUCAGAAUCAUUUAAAUAAUUUUAUCACUUUAAUUUCUCAAAUGGACAAAGGAGCACCUUCCACGCUGGCCUUCCCUAAAUGAGAACCUCUUGUUUUCCUAAUGAGGAUGUGGGUCGAUUUCAGGGAUAAAUAAGGGUUAUAGUGAGUCUGCAUUAAAAGCAGAGCAACUGGACCCUGCCCGGGGUCCCUUGUCCCUUCCUCUCUGCUCUGAGCCACCCAGGCCAUCUCUGGGCCGUGGUUCAGAAGCCUGUCCCACAUGACACGCUCCUUCCAUUUUUUCUGUUGAGAAUCAUCGGAUUCUUUGUCUGAGUCUUGCCUUUGUUGCCUUAGUUCUUAUUGAACCACCAGGAGGAAAAAAAAUAGGGAAAGCAAAUCACUACUUUGGUUUCACUUGGAUGGAAUGAAAUCUGCACACAGGACUCCAUGAAUUAAUUUUUGAACCAAAACAAGACACUUCAUAACUCAGAAUUAAAAGACCAAAGAAGCAGGAGAAAAACAUGCC
rnacentral:lncRNA from 1 species